UGAAGCCAAAUCUCAUUCACGUCUGAUGAAAAUUGGCAUGCUAAAUAUCAAAUCAUGUGUUACUUGUUAAUAAAUAAAUUUUUAGCAAAAUUAAGAAUUUCUACUGGUGACGUACCAGUGCGAAUAUGCCGUUUACAAGACGGUGCGAGGUUGAAACACCAUAUUGUAUCUGUUUUUCCUUGUUAUUACUCCAUACGUGCCAUAAUUCUGGUAGUUGCAUUCAAAUGAAUGAUGAACUCCAACGCACCUACAACCGGAAAUUUGAAGGCAAACUUGAAGACCAGUCCCAGUUCUUCACGCAUGCGAAGAGCCCUCAAUCUGUCAAUCAUGACGUAAACACGCGUGUCUGUAGGUCAAAUUUGGCUUCAAGAAAAAAAUAGACAGCUUGUCUGAAGGUAGCGUUCCAGUCCGUAUUCAUUUCAAUGGGUAGUUGUAGUGUAAUGACGUCAUCAUGCAAGGGCGUCGUCAUGCAGUUGCUGAAAUAUAGUUUUUGUAUAUUUCACCAUGGUACACAGAUGAAGUGCUCACAUGCAUACACACAGUAUUUCAUUAUCCAAUAUAAGUACUUGCAAUUUGGUCUGAUAUGUUUUAUAAAUAUGAGAUGGGUGGCAAAAAGGUUGGAACAAUGAGUCCUAAAUAUUACUUCCUAAUAUUACAAUUCUUGCCAACCUUUCUUUGUUAACUUGUGGGAUAUUUGGG